AUACUUACUUGGCAAGGCAGAUACCACUGUCAUUAAGGUAGUUUUCCCAAUUGUUCAGCGUAUCCAUUGCACUCUAGAUGUGCUGAUCCCUGAGAUUUCUCCAAAUGUUGGAAACUUGACUGCAUAAUUUAUGAUAGUGGGGGAAUGCAUUCCUCUU